rnacentral:rRNA from 1 species
CGCUAGCUACAGGCUUAACACAUGCAAGUCGAGGGGCAGCAUGGUCUUAGCUUGCUAAGGCCGAUGGCGACCGGCGCACGGGUGAGUAACACGUAUCCAACCUGCCGUCUACUCUUGGACAGCCUUCUGAAAGGAAGAUUAAUACAAGAUGGCAUCAUGAGUCCGCAUGUUCACAUGAUUAAAGGUAUUCCGGUAGACGAUGGGGAUGCGUUCCAUUAGAUAGUAGGCGGGGUAACGGCCCACCUAGUCUUCGAUGGAUAGGGGUUCUGAGAGGAAGGUCCCCCACAUUGGAACUGAGACACGGUCCAAACUCCUACGGGAGGCAGCAGUGAGGAAUAUUGGUCAAUGGGCGAGAGCCUGAACCAGCCAAGUAGCGUGAAGGAUGACUGCCCUAUGGGUUGUAAACUUCUUUUAUAAAGGAAUAAAGUCGGGUAUGGAUACCCGUUUGCAUGUACUUUAUGAAUAAGGAUCGGCUAACUCCGUGCCAGCAGCCGCGGUAAUACGGAGGAUCCGAGCGUUAUCCGGAUUUAUUGGGUUUAAAGGGAGCGUAGAUGGAUGUUUAAGUCAGUUGUGAAAGUUUGCGGCUCAACCGUAAAAUUGCAGUUGAUACUGGAUAUCUUGAGUGCAGUUGAGGCAGGCGGAAUUCGUGGUGUAGCGGUGAAAUGCUUAGAUAUCACGAGGAACUCCGAUUGCGAAGGCAGCCUGCUAAGCUGCAACUGACAUUGAGGCUCGAAAGUGUGGGUAUCAAACAGGAUUAGAUACCCUGGUAGUCCACACGGUAAACGAUGAAUACUCGCUGUUUGCGAUAUACUGCAAGCGGCCAAGCGGAAGCGUUAAGUAUUCCACCUGGGGAGUACGCCGGCAACGGUGAAACUCAAAGGAAUUGACGGGGGCCCGCACAAGCGGAGGAACAUGUGGUUUAAUUCGAUGAUACGCGAGGAACCUUACCCGGGCUUAAAUUGCAGAUGAAUUACGGUGAAAGCCGUAAGCCGCAAGGCAUCUGUGAAGGUGCUGCAUGGUUGUCGUCAGCUCGUGCCGUGAGGUGUCGGCUUAAGUGCCAUAACGAGCGCAACCCUUGUUGUCAGUUACUAACAGGUUCCGCUGAGGACUCUGACAAGACUGCCAUCGUAAGAUGUGAGGAAGGUGGGGAUGACGUCAAAUCAGCACGGCCCUUACGUCCGGGGCUACACACGUGUUACAAUGGGGGGUACAGAGGGCCGCUACCACGCGAGUGGAUGCCAAUCCCCAAAACCUCUCUCAGUUCGGACUGGAGUCUGCAACCCGACUCCACGAAGCUGGAUUCGCUAGUAAUCGCGCAUCAGCCACGGCGCGGUGAAUACGUUCCCGGGCCUUGUACACACCGCCCGUCAAGCCAUGGGAGCCGGGGGUACCUGAAGUGCGUAACCGCGAGGAGCGCCCUAGGGUAAAACUGGUGACUG